CGCCGUCCUGGAUGCUGAAGUUGAUCGUGCCGCCCAGGUCGGCGUUGACCCCGCCGACGAGCUUGUUGUCGGUCGGCGGC
rnacentral:tRNA from 1 species